rnacentral:rRNA from 1 species
GACGAACGCUGGCGGCGUGCUUAACACAUGCAAGUCGAACGGAAAGGCCCUGCUUUUGUGGGGUGCUCGAGUGGCGAACGGGUGAGUAACACGUGAGUAACCUGCCCUUGACUUUGGGAUAACUUCAGGAAACUGGGGCUAAUACCGGAUAGGAGCUCCUGCUGCAUGGUGGGGGUUGGAAAGUUUCGGCGGUUGGGGAUGGACUCGCGGCUUAUCAGCUUGUUGGUGGGGUAGUGGCUUACCAAGGCUUUGACGGGUAGCCGGCCUGAGAGGGUGACCGGCCACAUGGGGACUGAGAGACGGCGGAGAGGCAUACGGGAGGCAGCAGUGGGGAAUCUUGCACAAGGGGCGGAAGCCUGAUGCAGCCACGCCGCGUGCGGGAUGACGGCCUUCGGGUUGUAAACAGCGUUCGCCGGUGACGAAGCGUGAGUGACGGUAAUGGGUAAAGAAGCACCGGCUAACUACGUG